AUGAACGCUGACAGAAUGCUUAACACAUGCAAGUCAACUUGAACUUCGGUUUGGGUGGCGGACGGGUGAGUAACGCGUAAAGAACUUGCCUCACAGAUAGGGACAACAUUUGGAAACGAAUGCUAAUACCUGAUAUUAUGAUUUUAGGGCAUCCUAGGAUUAUGAAAGCUAUAUGCGCUGUGAGAGAGCUUUGCGUCCCAUUAGCUAGUUGGAGAGGUAACGGCUCACCAAGGCGAUGAUGGGUAGCCGGCCUGAGAGGGUGAUCGGCCACAAGGGGACUGAGACACGGCCCUUACUCCUACGGGAGGCAGCAGUGGGGAAUAUUGGACAAUGGACCAAGAGUCUGAUACAGCAAUUCUGUGUGCACGAUGAAGUUUUUCGGAAUGUAAAGUGCUUUCAGUUGGGAAGAAAAAAAUGACGGUACCAACAGAAGAAGUGACGGCUAAAUACGUG
rnacentral:rRNA from 1 species